rnacentral:tRNA from 1 species
GGAGAGGUAUCGAAGCGGUCAUAACGGGGCUGACUCGAAAUCAGUUUGACGGCAACGUCACGUGGGUUCGAAUCCCACCCUCUCCGCCA